CGGACGGGUGAGUAACGCGUGAGCAACCUGCCUUUCAGAGAGGGAUAACGUUUGGAAACGAACGCUAAUACCGCAUGACAUUAUCUUAUCGCAUGGUAGGAUAAUCAAAGGAGCAAUCCGCUGAAAGAUGGGCUCGCGUCCGAUUAGGUAGUUGGUGGGGUAACGGCCCACCAAGCCGACGAUCGGUAGCCGGACUGAGAGGUUGGACGGCCACAUUGGGACUGAGACACGGCCCAAACUCCUACGGGAGGCAGCAG
rnacentral:rRNA from 1 species